CAGCAGCCGCGGUAAAACGGAGGGGGCUAGCGUUGUUCGGAAUUACUGGGCGUAAAGCGCACGUAGGCGGCUUUUUAAGUCAGAGGUGAAAGCCCGGGGCUCAACUCCGGAACUGCCUUUGAGACUGGAAGGCUUGAACGUCGGAGAGGUGAGUGGAAUUCCGAGUGUAGAGGUGAAAUUCGUAGAUAUUCGGAAGAACACCAGUGGCGAAGGCGGCUCACUGGACGACUGUUGACGCUGAGGUGCGAAAGCGUGGGGAGCAAACAGGAUUAGAGAACCCGGUAGUCCCUGUCUCUUAUAC
rnacentral:rRNA from 1 species